rnacentral:rRNA from 1 species
UACAGAGGGGGCGAGCGUUAUUCGGAAUUAUUGGGCGUAAAGGGCGCGUAGGCGGCUUUGCAAGUGACGGGUGAAAGCCCUCGGCUUAACCGAGGAACUGCCUGUCAGACUGUGAGGCUUGAGACCGGGAGAGGUGAGUGGAAUUCCCAGUGUAGCGGUGAAAUGCGUAGAUAUUGGGAGGAACACCAGUGGCGAAGGCGGCUCACUGGACCGGAACUGACGCUGAGGCGCGAAAGCCAGGGGAGCAAACGGG